GAAAGUAGAGUCAUUACAAUUGUUCGCCGGAAAUUAUUCUCGGUCGCGUUACUUUAUAUCUUUAUUUUUUUUUCUUUUUUUUUUCUUUAAUUGCUCGAUAUAUUCGGGAUUAGAGUCAAAGCACCACUGAAGAGGAGUUUUGGGCGUUGCUCCAUAAGGAAAGAGUAUGAAUUUUUUGAUUGCCGAGUUCCUGGAUAUCCUGAUGAUGGCUUUCUUCACGACUUCCGCCUUGAUGAACAGCUUUCUUCACGACUUCCGUCUUCUCCUACAAGGCAGCCUGCUACCUGGUGUUUGACUGUCGGAAGAAGAGUAUAUCUGCGAACGGUGAGUCGCAUGUUUUAUGGUUCCUCCGGUGCCCAAUCAUGUCGUAGGACGAAUGGUCCGAAUCGACACGGGUUACCGGUUGUAUACUUGGUUGGCAAGCAUAGUGACCAUGGGUAUGAUUAUACCCAUGUGUAGUAACAUUUUUAUUGUUUCAUUUCAUUUAGUUAGUUCAGGCUAGGUCUUCUUGU